rnacentral:rRNA from 1 species
GUAGGUGGCAAGCGUUGUCCGGAAUUAUUGGGCGUAAAGCGCGCGCAGGCGGUUCUUUAAGUCUGAUGUGAAAGCCCACGGCUCAACCGUGAAGGGUCAUUGGAAACUGGAGAACUUGAGUACAGAAGAGGAAAGCGGAAUUCCACGUGUAGCGGUGAAAUGCGUAGAGAUGUGGAGGAACACCAGUGGCGAAGGCGGCUUUCUGGUCUGUAACUGACGCUGAGGCGCGAAAGCGUGGGGAGCAAACAGGGAUUAGAUACCCUGGUAGUCCACGCCGUAAACGAUGAGUGCUAAGUGUUAGGGGGUUUCCGCCCCCUUAGUGCUGCAGCUAACGCACUAAGCACUCCGCCUGGGGAGUACGGCCGCAAGGCUG